CCUGGCAUCGGUACAUCCAUUGGCCUAGAUGAUCCAGUGCGGAUGCAAGGAAAAUUCAAUAAAAACAGCUGCCUACUGGAUAAGGAAGCUGCAAUCCCGGAAUGGAGGAAACUCCUACAGGACUGCGGUUAGAUUUCUAUUGCCUUUUUGCAGCUGACCA
ncrna:unclassified sequences DTF2800 RNA